CCUACGGGAGGCAGCAGUAGGGAAUAUUGCUCAAUGGGGGCAACCCUGAAGCAGCAACGCCGCGUGGAGGAUGAAGGUUUUAGGAUUGUAAACUCCUUUUGUGAGAGAAGAUGAUGACGGUAUCUCACGAAUAAGCACCGGCGAACUCCGUGACAGCAGCCGCGGUAAUACGGAGGGUGCAAGCGUUACUCGGAAUCACUGGGCGUAAAGAGUGCGCAGGCGGGCUGGUAAGUCAGAUGUGAAAUCCUGUAGCUUAACUACAGAACUGCAUUUGAAACUAUGAGUCUAGAGUGUGGGAGAGGUAGGUGGAAUUCUUGGUGUAGGGGUGAAAUGCGUAGAUAUCAAGAGGAAUACUCAUUGCGAAGGCGACCUACUGGAACAUUACUGACGCUCAUGUACGAAAGCGUGGGGAGCAAACAGGAUUAGAUACCCGAGUAGUC
rnacentral:rRNA from 1 species